rnacentral:rRNA from 1 species
AUUGAACGCUGGCGGCAGGCCUAACACAUGCAAGUCGAACGAGUGGCGGACGGGUGAGUAAUGUCUGGGAAACUGCCUGUUGGAGGGGGAUAACUACUGGAAACGGUAGCUAAUACCGCAUACCUCCGAAGUGGCCCAGAUGGGAUUAGCUAGUAGGUGGGGUAAAGGCUAACAUAGGCGACGAUCCCGAGCUGGUCUGAGAGGAUGACCAGCCAAACUGGAACUGAGACACGGUCCAGACUCCGACGGGAGGCAGCGGGGGGGAAUAGUGCACAAGGGGCGCAAGCCUGAUGCAGCCAUGCCGCGUGUAUGAAUAAGGCCUUCGGGUUGUAAAGUACUUUCAGCGGGGAUGCGUUACCCGCAGAAGAAGCACCGGCUAACUCCGUGCCAGCAGCCGCGGUAAUUC